rnacentral:rRNA from 1 species
UACGUAGGGUGCAAGCGUUGUCCGGAAUUAUUGGGCGUAAAGAGCUCGUAGGCGGUUUGUCGCGUCUGCUGUGAAAACCCGAGGCUCAACCUCGGGCCUGCAGUGGGUACGGGCAGACUAGAGUGCGGUAGGGGAGAUUGGAAUUCCUGGUGUAGCGGUGGAAUGCGCAGAUAUCAGGAGGAACACCGAUGGCGAAGGCAGAGUCUCGGGCCGUAACUGACGCUGAGGAGCGAAAGCAUGGGGAGCGAACAGG